UUAAAGCGCACGACCGGGCGAGUGUUUUUUAGCGCUGAGGAGGAGGAGGCGACGCUUUGGAUCAAGUCGAACUCUGUCAGCGACGGAUGGAUGAAGAUUCACGGCAGGAAAAGAAAAAAAAAGCGAUCAAUGGCGCAGCGCUCUCCCGUUCACCCUGAACUGGCGGUGAACUCCCGCGGAACGCCGCCAGCCCUCUCCACCCUAUCCCAUCGCCGCUCGGGGGUCACCAGGGGGGCGUCUCUGUGCCAAUAUGCAGAUGAAACGGUGCCCCUCCGAUGACUCCGGACUCUGGAUCCACCCCUCUAUAUGGUGCAGGCUUUGAGAUGAAGUCCAGCCCCCCCCUCCACCCAGACAACACUCACACACAUAAAGACAUAAACCCACUCUCACAUUGGCUUAAAUAGGCCUUUAACAGCUUACGUCCACUCUUCAUUUAAUGGCCAAAGUGUGUCGAACCUAAUGGAUGUUGUCAAAGCUGAGAUGUGACCACUGAUUUAGAGGAGGGACCCGAAUGCCAGGCUUCACUGGCCGCUAAAGACAAACGCACACGAGCACACACACACACACACACACACAGGCAGAAUUACCUCAGCUAUGCCACAAAUCAAAGUAAUAUCUUAAAAAGAUGUGGGGAUCGAUGAGGUGUCAUCUGGCUGUAUCCCCUGUGUAAAGUGAACCCAUAAACAGCCGGUGACAACUACUUAUCCUCAGCUUUAGCCCCUCGCUGAGAAAGUUUUUAUCUCAUAAGCAGAUUUUGUUUGGUUUAUGGCCGAUUGAUUUCAUGUAUUGUUAAACUAAGAUCUAAGCGGCAGAGAGCUCUUCCUUUUUCACGACUUUAAUCACAACUUGUUUCUUGUAUUUAAUUGGUCAAAUGUUGCAAAUAAAGAACGUUGUGCAUUU